AGUGAGGAAUAUUGCACAAUGGGGGGAACCCUGAUGCAGCAACGCCGCGUGGAGGAUGACGCAUUUCGGUGUGUAAACUCCUUUUAUAUGUCAAGAAAAUGACGGUAGCAUAUGAAUAAGCACCGGCUAACUCCGUGCCAGCAGCCGCGGUAAUACGGAGGGUGCAAGCGUUACUCGGAAUCACUGGGCGUAAAGGACGCGUAGGCGGGUUGGUAAGUCAGAUGUGAAAUCCUACAGCUUAACUGUAGAACUGCAUUUGAAACUACUAACCUAGAGUAUGGGAGGGGGAGAUGGAAUUAGUGGUGUAGGGGUAAAAUCCGUAGAUAUCACUAGGAAUACCGAAAGCGAAGGCGAUCUCCUGGAACAUUACUGACGCUAAGGCGUGAAAGCGUGGGGAGCAAACGGGAUUAGAUACCCCGGUAGUCCACGCCCUAAACGAUGUUCACUAGUCGUCGGGAUGCUAGUCAUCUCGGUGAUGCACUUAACAGAUUAAGUGAACCGCCUGGGGAGUACGGUCGCAAGAUUAAAACUCAAAGGAAUAGACGGGGACCCGCACAAGUGGUGGAGCAUGUGGUUUAAUUCGAAGAUACGCGAAGAACCUUACCUAGCCUUGACAUUGAUAGAAUACACCAGAGAUGGAGUAGUGCCUUUCGGGGAACUUGAAAACAGGUGCUGCACGGCUGUCGUCAGCUCGUGUCGUGAGAUGUUGGGUUAAGUCCCGCAACGAGCGCAACCCUCGUCCUUAGUUGCCAGCAGGUUAAGCUGGGCACUCUAAGGAGACUGCCUUCGUAAGGAGGAGGAAGGUGAGGACGACGUCAAGUCAUCAUGGCCCUUAUGGCUAGGGCUACACACGUGCUACAAUGGGGCGUACAGAGUGUUGCGAUACCGCGAGGUGGAGCUAAUCACUUAAAGCGUCUCUCGGUUUCGGAUAGCGAGUUCUGCAACACGACUGCAUGAAGCUGGAAUCACGAGU
rnacentral:rRNA from 1 species